rnacentral:rRNA from 1 species
CCUACGGGAGGCAGCAGUAGGGAAUAUUGCUCAAUGGGGGAAACCCUGAAGCAGCAACGCCGCGUGGAGGAUGAAGGUUUUCGGAUCGUAAACUCCUUUUGUUAGAGAAGAUAAUGACGGUAUCUAACGAAUAAGCACCGGCUAACUCCGUGCCAGCAGCCGCGGUAAUACGGAGGGUGCAAGCGUUACUCGGAAUCACUGGGCGUAAAGAGCGCGUAGGCGGGAUAGCAAGUCAGAUGUGAAAUCCUAUGGCUUAACCAUAGAACUGCAUUUGAAACUGUUAUUCUAGAGUAUGGGAGAGGUAGGUGGAAUUCUUGGUGUAGGAGUAAAAUCCGUAGAGAUCAAGAGGAAUACUCAUUGCGAAGGCGACCUGCUAGAACAUAACUGACGCUGAUGCGCGAAAGCGUGGGGAGCAAACAGGAUUAGAUACCCCAGUAGUC